AUACGGAGGGUCCAAGCGUUAUCCGGAAUCAUUGGGUUUAAAGGGUUCGUAGGCGGGUCAAUAAGUCAGAGGUGAAAUCUUGCAGCUUAACUGUAAAAUUGCCUUUGAAACUGUUGACCUUGAAUUACUGUGAAGUAGUUAGAAUAUGUAGUGUAGCGGUGAAAUGCUUAGAGAUUACAUAGAAUACCGAUUGCGAAGGCAGAUCACUAACAGUAUAUUGACGCUGAUGAACGAAAGCGUGGGUAGCGAACGGGAUUAGAAACCCUAGUAGUCC
rnacentral:rRNA from 1 species